rnacentral:rRNA from 1 species
GAUAUACGCUAGCGGCAGGCUUAACACAUGCAAGUCGAGGGGCAGCAUAGAUUGUAGCAAUACAAUUGGUGGCGACCGGCGCACGGGUGCGUAACGCGUAUGCAACCUACCCGUCACAGGGGGAUAAUCCGGAGAAAUCUGGCCUAAUACCCCAUAACAUAUGGAUCGGCAUCGGUUCAUGUUGAAAUUUUCGGAGGUGACGGAUGGGCAUGCGUAGCAUUAGCUUGUUGGUGAGGUAACGGCUCACCAAGGCGACGAUGCUUAGGGGGACUGAGAGGUUUUCCCCCCACACUGGUACUGAGACACGGACCAGACUCCUACGGGAGGCAGCAGUGAGGAAUAUUGGUCAAUGGGCGCAAGCCUGAACCAGCCGUGCCGCGUGCAGGAUGACGGCUCUAUGAGUUGUAAACUGCUUUUGUACGAGGGUAAAGUGGGUUACGUGUAACCUUUUGAAAGUACCGUACGAAUAAGGAUCGGCUAACUCCGUGCCAGCAGCCGCCGUAA